UACGGGGGGAGCAAGCGUUGUUCGGAUUUACUGGGCAUAAAGGGCGCGUAGGCGGCCACCGCAAGUCGACUGUGAAAUCUCCGGGCUUAACCCGGAACGGUCAGCCGAUACUGCGGGGCUAGAGUGCAGAAGGGGCAACUGGAAUUCUCGGUGUAGCGGUGAAAUGCGUAGAUAUCGAGAGGAACACCUGCGGCGAAGGCGGGUUGCUGGGCUGACACUGACGCUGAGACUCGAAAGCAUGGGGAGCAAACAGG
rnacentral:rRNA from 1 species